GUUAUCUCGGCGGUUUACAGCCGUAUUAUCUGUGCGCACCACCGCACCACCUACGGUGAACAUGGUAGUCACAAGAGACGGCAGCAGUACAACGAACAGCGGAAAGCGCAUAAUGACUUCCGUUCGUCGGACAACGAGAAACAUCGAAAAUAAAACGACGUGCCGAUAUCCACGGACUCCGAAUCGCACAUACCCGAAGGCUCUGAAAGUAUUUUUAUGAGUAUGACAUAAGAAUUAGCCCUAACAUUUUUAACAUUCAAUGCAAUAAAUAGUACUUUUUGAAA